UACGUAGGGUGCGAGCGUUAAUCGGAAUUACUGGGCGUAAAGCGUGCGCAGGCGGUCUUUUAAGUCAGAUGUGAAAUCCCCGGGCUUAACCUGGGAACUGCGUUUGAAACUGGAAGGCUUGAGUGUGGAAGAGGAGUGUGGAAUUCCUGGUGUAGCGGUGAAAUGCGCAGAUAUCAGGAAGAACACCUAUGGCGAAGGCAGCACUCUGGGACGGUACUGACGCUGAGACGCGAAAGCGUGGGGAGCGAACAGG
rnacentral:rRNA from 1 species